AAGUCCGAGCGGGAUGACGGGAGCUUGCUCCUUGAUUCAGCGGCGGACGGGUGAGUAAUGCCUAGGAAUCUGCCUGGUAGUGGGGGACAACGUUUCCAAAGGAACGCUAAUACCGCAUACGUCCUACGGGAGAAAGCAGGGGACCUUCGGGCCUUGCGCUAUCAGAUGAGCCUAGGUCGGAUUAGCUAGUUGGUGAGGUAAUGGCUCACCAAGGCGACGAUCCGUAACUGGUCUGAGAGGAUGAUCAGUCACACUGGAACUGAGACACGGUCCAGACUCCUACGGGAGGCAGCAGUGGGGAAUAUUGGACAAUGGGCGAAAGCCUGAUCCAGCCAUGCCGCGUGUGUGAAGAAGGUCUUCGGAUUGUAAAGCACUUUAAGUUGGGAGGAAGGGCAGUAAGCUAAUACCUUGCUGUUUUGACGUUACCGACAGAAUAAGCACCGGCUAACUCUGUGCCAG
rnacentral:rRNA from 1 species